UACGUAGGGGGCUAGCGUUGUCCGGAAUCACUGGGCGUAAAGCGCACGUAGGCGGCUUCUUAAGUCAGGGGUGAAAUCCUGGAGCUCAACUCCAGAACUGCCUUUGAUACUGAGGAGCUUGAGUCCGGGAGAGGUGAGUGGAACUGCGAGUGUAGAGGUGAAAUUCGUAGAUAUUCGCAAGAACACCAGUGGCGAAGGCGGCUCACUGGCCCGGUACUGACGCUGAGGUGCGAAAGCGUGGGGAGCAAACAGGG
rnacentral:rRNA from 1 species